UGAAGUUGAAAGCUCAGCUUCUCUGGGAAUAGCUCCAAGACCACCGACCACCAGGCGUGCAGAGCCCUCUACCAUCUCCAGGACAAGGUGGAGUCCCGUGGUCAUGGCUGGACUUGGACAAGGGUGCUUCAGAUGAAAGAUGGAAAUAUUCAGAUGCAGAACCAGCAAUUCUACCUCCCUGAGAGAAGACAUUGAGGAACUGCCAUCAACUUGCAUGUGUUUGCAGCGUGUCUUCCAGGAUACCCACAGCUUGAUUCACAUUCUCACUGGAAAGGGGGAACAGCUUCCCAGAGCCUGUAACAGGAUCACUUUCAUGCCGAGAAAGGUGACCUGUGACACAAGGACACUUGACAACACUACUAAGUGAUGCACCUCAGCUGCUGCAACUGGCCUCUGUCAUCAAAUAGGAUUUUCUACCUAUUGGAUCAUUGCUAAAUCAGUCUCUAUAUACUCAAAGUGUUUGUCUAUCAGUGAUGUAGUUAAGGAAACACUUAGAAUGUACUGAAAUAAACAGGAAUUCUAGCAUUUAUUUCAAGCUGUUGCAGGCCUCGUGUCACAUUUCCCUCACAGUUUGUCUGCUUGAUUUUUUUAGUGAUCAGUAGAAAUUAGAAAUGAUCAUUCAGUUCUGCUUACUUCUACAUUCCAUGCAAUUACUUUGAUUUAAAUUCUGAAACUGGGUUAGAGGUGGGAUAAACCUGAAGCAGACUGAAAAUAACAGUUUAUCUUUUUU